rnacentral:tRNA from 1 species
GACCCCGUAGCUAAGUUGGCUAGAGCGUUGGCUAUAUUAAAGCCUUCGAUUUGAUGGCGUGGAUUCGAAUCCUACCGAGGCCA